AAAAAUAUGUUAGACAAAUUUGCAAAUAAGUAAGUUGGUUCUAUUUUAAAUAGAAAAAAAAAAAAUAUCUAACACCGAUUUAGAGUUUAAAAUGAAACAAUUCUUAAGCCCAUGAGAAAGUUGUAUUACAAAACUUACCUUGGAACUCCACUCCAUCCAAUGAUUUUGACACUAUCAGCAGCAUUCCAUUGUUUCAAAAAAUAACAAAUCAAAACAACACACUACUGAUAUUUGUAAGAUACAUAUUUUAUUGAUUAGUGUGUACCUUGUUGGAUUUGUGUGGACUGUGAUCAAUGCUCUUAAUCAUCAGGCAUUUGUACCUACAAAUUCCAAAUCGUAGUUAAUGGUAACAAAACACUACCACUACUAAAGAAAAGUACAAUAAACAGUUAAAUCUUCAUUUCUAAUCCAUUUGUUUCAUCAGGUUUGUUGCUAUUUCAUCACAAUUGUUGAGUACAUGAAGAUAAAAAUUUGAUUAGAGAAUGUUCAUUGCAGAUUCAUAUUGUUAGAAUGUACCUUGUCGGAUUCGAAUUGACUGUGGUCGAUGAUCUUAACACUGUCAGCAGUGGAUCGGAUGCUCUUGCUCGAUACGAUCAUAAAGGAAAUCUAAAAUGAACUUCACCCAUGAUCCUCGUUAUAUAGAGAAACAAAUAAACUGCAAAUAACUGACAACAUGUUUUAGCUACACGUUUUUUUUAAACUGCAAGUAACUGACAUGUUUUUAGCUACACGUUUUUGUAAACUGCAAUUUAUCAGCACUGAUGGGGCAAUUAAUCUGCGAUUAUUGCGCUCACUGCACAAAUUAUUUCGGUAACUGCAUCUAAGUG
rnacentral:lncRNA from 1 species